rnacentral:rRNA from 1 species
CAGGAUUCCCCUAGUAACUGCGAGUGAAGCGGGAAAAGCUCAAAUUUGAAAUCUGGCGGUCUUUGGCCGUCCGAGUUGUAACCUGGAGGAGCGCUUUCCGCGCCGGACCGUGUACAAGUCUCCUGGAACGGAGCGUCAUAGAGGGUGAGAAUCCCGUCCAUGACACGGACGCCCGGUGCUUUGUGAUUGCGCCCCCGAAGAGUCGCGUUGUUUGGGAAUGCAGCGCAAAAUGGGUGGUAAAUUCCAUCUAAAGCUAAAUAUUGGCGAGAGACCGAUAGCGAACAAGUACCGUGAGGGAAAGAUGAAAAGCACUUUGGAAAGAGAGUUAAACAGUACGUGAAAUUGUUGAAAGGGAAACGCUUGAAGUCAGUCGCGUCGCACGGAACUCAGCCUGGCCUUGGCCUGGUGUACUUUCCGUGCGACGGGUCAACAUCAAUUUCGGGCGGCGGACAAGGGCGAGGGGAAUGUAGCGUCGCUUCGGCGGCGUGUUAUAGCCCCUUGUCGUAUACGCCGUGCGGGAUUGAGGACCGCAGCGCGCCCUUGUGGCCGGGGUUCGCCCACGUCACGCGCUUAGGAUGUUGGCAUAAUGGCUUUAAGCGACCCGUCUUGAAACACGGACCAAGGAGUCUAACAUGCUUGCGAGUGUUCGGGUGGAAAACCCUUGCGCGGAAUGAAAGUGAAAGUUGGGAGCCUCCGCGAGGGGGUGCACCGACGCCCGGCCCUGAAGUUCUCUGACGGUGCUGCGGUAGAGCAGGUGUGUUGGGACCCGAAAGAUGGUGAACUAUGCCUGAAUAGGGCGAAGCCAGAGGAAACUCUGGUGGAGGCUCGUAGCGAUUCUGACGUGCAAAUCGAUCGUCAAAUUUGGGUAUA